rnacentral:rRNA from 1 species
UACGGGGGGGGGGCAAGCGUUGUUCGGAAUUACUGGGCGUAAAGGGUGCGCAGGCGGCCAAGUGUGUGAGGCGUGAAAGCCUGGGGCUUAACCCCAGAAUUGCACCUCAAACUACUUGGCUAGAGCAUUGGAGAGGGUAGCAGAAUUCAUGGUGUAGCAGUGAAAUGCGUAGAUAUCAUGAGGAAUACCAGAGGCGAAGGCGGCUACCUGGACAAUUGCUGACGCUCAGGCACGAAAGCGUGGGGAGCAAAAGGG